UGUGGGAGCGAGCCUGCUCGCGAUAGCGGUGUGACAGUCGACAUCAAUGUUGAAUGUUGUUCCGUCAUCGCGAGCAGGCUCGCUCCCACA
rnacentral:misc_RNA from 1 species